AUUGAACGCUGGCGGCAUGCCUUACACAUGCAAGUCGAACGGUAACAGGUCUUCGGAUGCUGACGAGUGGCGAACGGGUGAGUAAUACAUCGGAACGUGCCCAGACGUGGGGGAUAACGAGGCGAAAGCUUUGCUAAUACCGCAUACGAUCUAAGGAUGAAAGCAGGGGACCGCAAGGCCUUGCGCGUUUGGAGCGGCCGAUCGCAGAUUAGGUAGUUGGUGGGAUAAAAGCUUACCAAGCCGACGAUCUGUAGCUGGUCUGAGAGGACGACCAGCCACACUGGGACUGAGACACGGCCCAGACUCCUACGGGAGGCAGCAGUGGGGAAUUUUGGACAAUGGGCGAAAGCCUGAUCCAGCAAUGCCGCGUGCAGGAUGAAGGCCUUCGGGUUGUAAACUGCUUUUGUACGGAACGAAAAGGCUCUGGCUAAUACCUGGGGCACAUGACGGUACCGUAAGAAUAAGCACCGGCUAACUACGUG
rnacentral:rRNA from 1 species